UACGUAGGGGGCAAGCGUUGUCCGGAAUCAUUGGGCGUAAAGCGCGCGUAGGCGGCCCGGUAAGUCCGUUGUGAAAGUCAAAGGCUCAACCUUUGAACGCCGAUGGAUACUGCCGGGCUAGAGUCCGGAAGAGGCGAGUGGAAUUCCGAGUGUAGAGGUGAAAUUCGUAGAUAUUCGGAAGAACACCAGUGGCGAAGGCGACUCACUGGACACGUAUUGACGCUGAGGUGCGAAAGCGUGGGGAGCAAACAGG
rnacentral:rRNA from 1 species